CCUAACUAUAAGAUAAGGCUAGGGACUAAUGAAAGUAUUUAGAAAAUUGGGCAGACUAGAUGGGCCGAAUGGUUCUUAUCUGCCGUCACAUUCUAUGUUUCUGCCCUAAUGCCUAUCAAGCAAGGAAACCGGUCUAUCUCAGAGUAUGCCAUAGAAUUCCAAAAAAUUCUAGAAAUAGGCAGAAUGACAGUUUAGGAGAAAAGAGGGCCUUUGCUCAUACUAUGGCAAGAAAGGACAUAUGAAAAAAUGCUUGCCCCCAUACAUCAAGAAAACUUGCGCACCUAAGAACCAUAAGGGGACCGGUCUUCGGUGUGAUGGAUAUGUCCUCUGGUACUACCAAAAGUAGAUUUCUCCUUUAUAUUACUGCUCGAUGCAACAAGAAAUGUUUUUUUUCUUGUAAAGCCCUGAUGGACUCAGAUGCUGCAGGAAACUUUAUCGACAUGCAAUUUGUCAGUAAACGCCUCAUACCCAUCAAGGAGAGAGAAUCACCUAUGGCUGUCGAAGCCAAUGGUGGGAGACUUUUCUCUCAACCUCUAAUUACCCAUGAAACUAUGCCUAUUACUGUUACUAUAGGAGCGUUGCAUAAAGAAAUCAUUACGUUUCAGAUAAUUGCUUCCCCUUCUUGUCCCAUUAUACUAGGAUUCCCAUGGCUUGUUCAGCAUAAUCCUCAUAGACUGGGCUAAGAUGGGAAUACUAGAAUGGGAUAAAGAAUGUAGUGAGAGAUGUAUGCUGCCUAUUCCUUAAAGAGUGGGCAUCAUUGCUCUACCUAGUCCUUCGCCUCAGCCUACCGAAAUUCCUGUGCAGUACUGGGAGGUUAAAGAAGUGUCUAGUAAAAGUCAUACUGAUACGCUACCUCAUCACAGAUUUUAUGAUUGCUCCAUAUUAUUAUUGCCAUUUAUAUAGCGCCAACAGAUUCCAUAGCGCUUUACAAUAUUUUGAGAGGGGGAUGUAACAAUAAAUAGGACUAUUACAAGAAAACUUACAGGAACAAUAGGUUGAAGAGGACCCUGCUCAAACGAGCUUACAGACUAUAGAUUUGUUACCCGGCACUAUGCCCUCUAAGGGCAUAAGUGUAUGACUUAUCACCACAGGAAAGUAGGAUUAUGGAGGAAUACAUUAGUCUCUACAAAAAGGUCACAUACGUAAAUCUUCUUCACCUGCGGGUGCAGGGUUCUUUUUUGUAUCCAAGAAAGAUGGAGAGUUACGGCCAUGUAUUGAUUAUAGGGCACUGAACAAGAUCACCAUCAAAAAUGCUUAUCCCAUUCCCCUUAUCUCAGAAUUGUUUGACAGACUCCAGGGCGCUAUGGUGUUUACCAAACUCGACCUUGGAAGUGCUUACAAUUUGGUAAGGAUUAAGCAGUGUCAUGAAUGGAGAACUGGUCACUAUGAGUAUCUUGUCAUGCCCUUCGGCUUAUGCAAUGCUCCAGCCGUAUUUCAGGAUUUUUCUCAGAGACUACAUGUAUACUUUUGUAUUAGUAUAUCAGGAUGAUAUUCUAAUUUAUUCCCCUGAUCUCCAGACUCAUCAUAGGCAUGUGAAGCAAGUAUUUCAAACUUUGCUUAAAAAUGGGUUAUAUUGCAAACUUGAGAAAUGCAUAUUUGACCAGACAGAGGUACAGUUAUUGGGAUAUAAUAUUUCGGCCUCUGGUUUUCAGAUGGACCCUUGCAAACUAGAAGCCGUUCUACGCUGGCCAUAACCUAAUGGGUUAAAAGCCAAAGGUUUAUUGGGUUUGCAACUUACUAUAGGAGAUUCAUCAAAGGUUUCUCUACUGUGAUAGCCCCCAUCACCAAUAUGACACGUAAGGGGGUUAACUGUACUAUAUGGUCUAAAGAAGCUAGAGAAGCUUUUGAGCUUCUUAAGAAAUUAUUCGCCUCUGCUGACUGUCACGGCAAGGGUGCAUAAUUUAUUAUUGCCAUAUGGAAUGUUCCUAUUUAAUAUAACUUGUGCAGUGCAUCAAUAAUUGUACCCCUGACUAGAGGACAAAUGGCAGAGAGAAAUAGUUUUUUUGAUCAAAAGGGGCUUCUGCAAGGUGUGAAACAGAUUGCCCUUUUUGAUCUUUCAAGGGUUCUGCAAAGUAAGAUAUUUUACACUUACGCCACCUGUAUGACCAGUUUCAAUGUAAACUAACUGACUUUGACCAUAUGGCUGGAAACUCUCAAUUGAUAAUUCAGUCCUCUGAUAUGGUAAUGGUAUUAGUUUCAUGAAGACCCUUCCUUGUGUUCCAGUAUCAUAUCCAAGAGAAAUAUUAAUGCUUACCCACAGCUUAAUAAGUCUAAUUUUUAUUAUAUUUGGAAUGGGACAAGCCCAAUCUCUUAAUUAAGCCAAAACAUGAGUUGCACAACUUAAACUGUGUGGCAGGAAUUGUGAUAUCUGUCCUAUUGGAUCGUGGGUGGGGCGUUUACUUGCUUGGGGGUCAGAAUAUAAUUCUGAGUGAGUCACCAUCAUCCUUCCUUGCCAGAGACCACCUGGGCAGAAGUUGUACUUUGAAAACCUAAGUGAGUAAGACUUCCGUAUUUUAUCCUUUUUGGUUUUAUCUGUUGUUGGUGUAAAUAAUUGAUCAUAUAUUUUUAUAUGCACUGUGACUAUUUUUUGCUCAUAAUAAACAUUAAUUUAUUAAGUUCUGCCUUUGUCUGGUUAAGAAUCACAUUACCUGAAGAGGCUAC